UCGGGAAUUUUGGACAAUGGGGGCAACCCUGAUCCAGCCAUGCCGCGUGAGUGAAGAAGGCCUUCGGGUUGUAAAGCUCUUUCGGCGGGGACGAAACGGUCCGUGACAACACCACGGACUAAUGACAGUACUCGCAGAAGAAGCACCGGCUAACUACGUGCCAGCAGCCGCGGUAAUACGUAGGGUGCAGGCGUUAAUCGGAAUUACUGGGCGUAAAGCGUGCGCAGGUGGCUCCUUAAGUCAGAUGUGAAAUCCCCGGGCUUAACCUGGGAACUGCGUUUGAAACUGAGGAGCUAGAGUGUGGAAGAGGGGGGUGGAAUUCCAGGUGUAGCAGUGAAAUGCGUAGAGAUCUGGAGGAACACCGAUGGCGAAGGCAGCCCCCUGGGCUAACACUGACACUCAUGCACGAAAGCGUGGGGAGCAAACAGGAUUAGAUACCCGCGUAGUCCCUGAGCGGGC
rnacentral:rRNA from 1 species